rnacentral:tRNA from 1 species
UGGCUCAGUUGGUAGAGCAUGGUGUUUGCAGCGCCAGCAUGGUGUCAGGGUUGUGGGUUCGAUUCCCAC